CCCUUAGACGUUCUGGGCCGCACGCGCGCUACACCGACGAAGGCAACGAGCUUUCCUUUACUGAAAGGUACGGGUAAUCUUUUGAAACUUCGUCGUGCUGGGGAUAGAUCCUUGCAAUUAUUGAUCUUAAACGAGGAAUUCCUAGUAAGCGCAAGUCAUCAACUUGCGUUGAUUACGUCCCUGCCCUUUGUACACACCGCCCGUCGCUACUACCGAUUGAAUGGUUUAGUGAGGCCUUCGGAUCCGCGACUCGUUUUGUGGAGAAGUUGGACAAACUCAGUCAUUUAGAGGAAGUAAAAGUCGUAACA
rnacentral:rRNA from 1 species